GAGAGAGGGAGAGAGACAGACAGAGAGGGGGGACAGAGAGAGGGAGAGGGAGAGAGACAGAGAGGGGGAGAGGGAGAGAGAACACUGUUAAAAACAGCCAAUCAAAUCAAAUUAUAUUUGUCACAUGCGCCGAAUACGACAAGUGUGGACCUUCCAUUGCAUUGAAAUGCUGACAAGCCCUUAGCCAACAAUGCAGUUUUAAGAAAAUAGCCCCCAAAAAGUAAGAAAUAAAAAUAACAAAUAAUUAAAAACCAGCAGUAAAAUAACAAUAGCGGGGCUAUAUACAGGGUAUUACGGUACAGAGUCAAUGUGGAGGCUAUAUACAGGGUAUUACGGUACAGAGUCAAUGUGGAGGCUAUAUACAGGGGGUACCGGUACAGAGUCAAUGUAGAGGCUAUAUACGGGGGUACCGGUACAGAGUCAAUGUGGAGGCUAUAUACAGGGGGUACCGGUACAGAGUCAAUGUGGAGGCUAUAUACAGGGGGUACCGGUACAGAGUCAAUGUGGAGGCUAUAUACAGGGUAUUACGGUACAGAGUCAAUGUGGAGGCUAUAUACAGGGUGUUACGGUACAGAGUCAAUGUGGAGGCUAUAUACAGGGGGUACCGGUACAGAGUCAAUGUGGAGGCUAUAUACAGGGGGUACCGGUACAGAGUCAAUGUGGAGGCUAUAUACAGGGGGUACCGGUACAGAGUCAAUGUGGAGACUAUAUACAGGGGGUACCGGUACAGAGUCAAUGUGGAGGCUAUAUACAGGGGGUACCGGUACAGAGUCAAUGUGGAGGCUAUAUACAGGGUAUUACGGUACAGAGUCAAUGUGGAGGCUAUAUACAGGGUAUUACGGUACAGAGUCAAUGUGGAGGCUAUAUACAGGGGGUACCGGUACAGAGUCAAUGUGGAGGCUAUAUACAGGGGGUACUGGUACAGAGUCAAUGUGGAGGCUAUAUACAG
rnacentral:lncRNA from 1 species